UUUGAGGUCUGACCUGCCCAAUGAUAGUUAUUAAAUGGCCGCAGUAUUUUGACUGUGCAAAGGUAGCAUAAUCAUUAGUUUUUUAAUUGAAAGCUGGAAUGAAUGGUUUGAUGAAAGAAGAUCUGUCUCGGGGUUAUUGAUUUAGAAAUUUAUUUUUCAGUUAAAAAGCUUAAAUGUUUUAGAAAGACGAGAAGACCCUAUAGAGUUUUAUAUUUGGUUAAUAAAAUUUUAUUGUGGAUUUUUGUUAAUUUUUAUUUAUUAAAUAUUUCGUUGGGGUGACGAAAAAAUUUAGUUAACUUUUUAUAGUAAAAACAUGAAUUAAUGGAUUAGUGAUCCUUUUAUUUGGAUUAGUAGAUAAAACUACCUUAGGGAUAACAGCGUAAUUUUUUUAGAGAGUUCUUAUCGAAAAAAAAGAUUGCGACCUCGAUGUUGGAUUAAAAUUAAUUUUUGGUGCAGAAGCUAGAAAAUUGGGUCUGUUCGACCCUUAAAAUUUUACAUGAUCUGAGUUUAAACCGGCGUGAGCCAGGUUGGUUUCUAUCUUUUAAUAAAAUAGAUGUUUUAGUACGAAAGGACCAAACAUAAAAAUUAUAUUUUAGUUUUUGAAUUAUAUUGUUAUUUUGGCAGAUUAGUGCAAUAAAUUUAGAAUUUAUGAAUGUAAGUUUAUUACAAGUAACAUUGUUUUUUCAGGAUUUAUCAAUAGUUUUUGUUUCUAUAUUGAUUAUAAUUGUUUGUGUUCUAGUAGGAGUAGCCUUUUUA
rnacentral:rRNA from 1 species